rnacentral:rRNA from 1 species
AUGGCACUUGCUCCGGGCUGGUCUCCGUCUCUGCGCUCCCUGGUGUGGCUCAUGUCGCACAGAAAUCCACAUCUGAGCUCUUUCUCCUCUACCGCCGCCGCGGCCGCCAUACAGCCGGCGGCUCCAGGAACUGCCAUUCCAGCUGUUCGUGCCGUUCAGCCUCCAGCCGCUCCAGAUUCGAGUUGUAGCCGGUCCGUUGCCCCGGAGCAAAAGGUUCUUCACCCACUUCCAUCCAGCACACCUAAAAUUCCAAUCCACAAGCCUUCUCGUCGUCCCACCAGCAAACAUCCUAAGAACAUGAUUCAUCCUAGUAGAGAACCUCAACUUGUAACCAACACGCCGCAGAUGCGCAGCCUCGAAAGCCCCACGCACCUGAUUCCUGGUGGUUCAUGCAGCGCACUUCAGUCUCUGACCGACAAGCGUUUGCCGGCAAAACGUGGUGAUUACAAAGAUCCCAAAAGCCCCAGGUUUAGCUCUUCCAGCCACUUCCCUGACCAGCCGACUCCUGAACCUAUCGGCGAGUCUUUGACGCCCACCCUGCAAGAUCCUCCACACUCGGUCCCUGGUGAAUCGUGCAGCACACUUCAACCUGUAACCUGCAAGCCUUCGCUGAAAGCAGAUCCCGAUCACGAAGCCGGCGGCGAAAAUUCUGAUGUUCAAGUUCCCAGAAUUCCAAAGAUUAGCCCUAUCCCCAAGGAUAGCACUUUCCAUGAUCCGCCACACCCACCUGCUGACCCAUAG